UGUCGUACUUAGUUUACGGAUGUGGGAUAACCUUCCAAAAAGCCAUUCUAACGCAGCCUUUUUUAAUUUUCUACGAUUUCCUUCAGGAAGGAAUGCUCUCUGUGAGGAAUGGUCAAGUGGCUGGAGCUUAAGGUAUUCAAUCGGUCUCAAAUUAUGUUACUUGUGCGGAAGGUUUUCCUCCGAUAUAAACUAGAUCAACGAAGCAAAAUAGAAACGGCGACGGGUUGCUUUCUACCAGAUGCAGCGCAGAUUUUGCAUCUGGGUUCUGUAGAAGUCCCAACUGUGCAGUAGACCCCGCCGGACGCACUCCAAUUUUUUAGGUUUUUUCCACCGGCGUAGGUUUUUGCGAAUAUGGAAGUCCCGGCUGACCAGCAGAUCACGCUGGACGUCCUCCAGGAUCUAGUACGCCAUAGGAAAAGUCGUCUAUAAGCAGACAAUAGACUGCUCGGCGGACAACAGAGAAUGCUGGUUAUCACUCACCAAAUUCGUCGAAAAAAUGCGAUGGAAAAUACCCUUAUUUUAAGCAUUUGUUUGAUUUAAUUUUAUUUUGUAAGAAAUUUCAAUUAUUUUCUUCUAACAAUUAUAGUUAAUUUUGCUACU